UAGCUACAGGCUUAACACAUGCAAGUCGAGGGGAAACGAUAUUGGAAGCUUGCUUCCGAUAGGCGUCGACCGGCGCACGGGUGAGUAACGCGUAUCCAACCUGCCCACCACUUGGGGAUAACCUUGCGAAAGUAAGACUAAUACCCAAUGAUAUCUCUAGGAGACAUCUGAAAGAGAUUAAAGAUUUAUCGGUGAUGGAUGGGGAUGCGUCUGAUUAGCUUGUUGGCGGGGUAACGGCCCACCAAGGCAACGAUCAGUAGGGGUUCUGAGAGAAAGGUCCCCCACAUUGGAACUGAGACACGGUCCAAACUCCUACGGGAGGCAGCAGUGAGGAAUAUUGGUCAAUGGACGAGAGUCUGAACCAGCCAAGUAGCGUGCAGGAAGACGGCCCUAUGGGUUGUAAACUGCUUUUAUAAGGGAAUAAAGUGAGUCUCGUGAGACUUUUUGCAUGUACCUUAUGAAUAAGGACCGGCUAAUUCCGUGCCAGCAGCCGCGGUAAUACGGAAGGUCCGGGCGUUAUCCGGAUUUAUUGGGUUUAAAGGGAGCGUAGGCCGGAGAUUAAGCGUGUUGUGAAAUGUAGUCGCUCAACGUCUGCACUGCAGCGCGAACUGGUUUCCUUGAGUACGCACAAAGUGGGCGGAAUUCGUGGUGUAGCGGUGAAAUGCUUAGACAUCACGAAGAACUCCGAUUGCGAAGGCAGCUCACUGGAGCUCAACUGACGCUGAAGCUCGAAAGUGCGGGUAUCGAACAGGAUUAGAUACCCUGGUAGUCCGCACGGUAAACGAUGGAUGCCCGCUGUUGGUCUGAAUAGGUCAGCGGCCAAGCGAAAGCAUUAAGCAUCCCACCUGGGGAGUACGCCGGCAACGGUGAAACUCAAAGGAAUUGACGGGGGCCCGCACAAGCGGAGGAACAUGUGGUUUAAUUCGAUGAUACGCGAGGAACCUUACCCGGGCUUGAAUUGCAGAGGAAGGAUUUGGAGACAAUGACGCCCUUCGGGGCCUCUGUGAAGGUGCUGCAUGGUUGUCGUCAGCUCGUGCCGUGAGGUGUCGGCUUAAGUGCCAUAACGAGCGCAACCCCUCUCCUUAGUUGCCAUCAGGUCAAGCUGGGCACUCUGGGGACACUGCCACCGUAAGGUGUGAGGAAGGUGGGGAUGACG
rnacentral:rRNA from 1 species